rnacentral:rRNA from 1 species
UACGGAGGGUGCAAGCGUUGCUCGGAAUUAUUGGGCGUAAAGGGUAGGUAGGUGGUCUCAUUUGUCUGGGGUGAAAUCCUUGAGCUUAACCCAAGAAGUGCCUCAGAAACGGUGAGACUAGAGUUCUGGAGAGGGUCGUGGAAUUCCCGGUGUAGCGGUGAAAUGCGUAGAGAUCGGGAGGAACACCAGAGGCGAAGGCGGCGACCUGGACAGAUACUGACACUAAACUACGAAAGCGUGGGGAGCAAACAGG